rnacentral:tRNA from 1 species
UAUUAAGUGGCCGAAACUAUUAAGCACUAGACUUUUAAUCUAGAAAAUGAUUUAUAUAAUCCUUAAUGG